CUCAACCCGCCCGGCCGCACUCAACGGCGCCUUCCGGCGAAAGGGAGAGGCCGGAGAGGGCGGGGGACAGGAGGGCCCGCGGGCCGGCGAGGGGCUGCGGCGCGACCUGAGAGCAAAAGGAGGGCGAGGAGGAAGUUUCAGGACUGGGGCUCCAGGCAGCUCCGCGCGGUGGCCUCAGGACCCGACUCCGAGCGGCGCCCCGGCCCGCGCGGAGGCGGAGGCGGCGGCCCGGCCUCGUCUGGGGAGGGGGCCCUGGCGCCGCGCCGCUCCCCACCGACGCCCCCGGCCCAGCCCCGGGGCCGCGCCGGUGUAACCCGAUCCCGCGCGGCCGCCCGCCCCCGCCCGGCCCGGACGCCGCCGCCGCCGCCGCCGCGGGAGCCACAGUAUCUGCAAAUCAGCCCUGGACAGCGCCUCGCUCCGCGUCCUUCCGCGCCCUCCCCCUCCCGCCGCCGCCGCCGCCGCCACCGCCACCGCCGCCGCCCGGCCGGCCCUCCCCCACCCCGACCGAGCCCCCAGCCCUGCGCCGUGCUUACCGGCCUUCCUCGGCGAGGAGGGGUUAGCGACCCGGCGUCGCCGCUCCUUCUCCGACUACUUUUCUUUGUUGCUGGAGUUUCAGGGAAGGGGAGGGGGAGGGGGGAAAAGUUGGGCGCUGGGGCCGUCGAGGCCCGCGAAGGCCCAGGAGUGGGGCUGCAGAGAGUGCUUAGGCCGCCGGCUCUGGCCCCGCCGUCCCGGGCGCCUCCGCCGCCGGGGUCUGGGGCCCGGGGUCUCGGCGGCGCUGGCUCUGCUGCUGCGCCGCGAGCUCGCCGGAGCCGCACAUUCCAACACAGGAGGCUGCGCCGCGCACCCGGCCCGCNNNNNNNNNNNNNNNNNNNNCCCGGCCCGCGCCGCCGCCGCCGCCGCCGCCGCCGCCGCCGCCCGCGGGACACGCCCCCUCCGCCGCCCGCGCGCGCCCGCGGGACACGCCCACUCGCCCGCCCGCGCGCGUGGCCGCCUGGCGCGCCCCGCCCCUCGGCGAAGGGGGUUGCUCCGGGCCCGGGGUGGGCUGGGGGCGAGCCGAGGGGGAGCCGCGCCUAA
rnacentral:lncRNA from 1 species